rnacentral:rRNA from 1 species
AGUAAUGUAUGGGGAUCUGCCUGAUGGCGGGGGAUAACUACUGGAAACGGUAGCUAAUACCGCAUAACGUCGCAAGACCAAAGAGGGGGACCUUAGGGCCUCUUGCCAUCGGAUGUGCCCAGAUGGGAUUAGCUAGUAGGUGGGGUAAUGGCUCACCUAGGCGACGAUCCCUAGCUGGUCUGAGAGGAUGACCAGCCACACUGGGACUGAGACACGGUCCAG